CCUACGGGUGGGCUGCAGUGGGGAAUAUUGGACAAUGGGGGCAACCCUGAUCCAGCCAUGCCGCGUGUGUGAAGAAGGCCCUCGGGUUGUAAAGCACUUUCAGUGAGGAAGAACGCCUGGUGGUUAAUACCCAUCAGGAAAGACAUCACUCACAGAAGAAGCACCGGCUAACUCCGUGCCAGCAGCCGCGGUAAUACGGAGGGUGCGAGCGUUAAUCGGAAUUACUGGGCGUAAAGCGCGCGUAGGUGGCUUGAUAAGCCGGUUGUGAAAGCCCCGGGCUCAACCUGGGAACGGCAUCCGGAACUGUCAAGCUAGAGUGCAGGAGAGGAAGGUAGAAUUCCCGGUGUAGCGGUGAAAUGCGUAGAGAUCGGGAGGAAUACCAGUGGCGAAGGCGGCCUUCUGGACUGACACUGACACUGAGGUGCGAAAGCGUGGGUAGCAAACAGGAUUAGAUACCCUUGUAGUC
rnacentral:rRNA from 1 species